rnacentral:rRNA from 1 species
UUUAUGGAGAGUUUGAUCCUGGCUCAGGAUGAACGCUGGCGGCGUGCCUAAUACAUGCAAGUCGAGCGAACGGACGAGAAGCUUGCUUCUCUGAUGUUAGCGGCGGACGGGUGAGUAACACGUGGAUAACCUACCUAUAAGACUGGGAUAACUUCGGGAAACCGGAGCUAAUACCGGAUAAUAUUUUGAACCGCAUGGUUCAAAAGUGAAAGACGGUCUUGCUGUCACUUAUAGAUGGAUCCGCGCUGCAUUAGCUAGUUGGUAAGGUAACGGCUUACCAAGGCAACGAUGCAUAGCCGACCUGAGAGGGUGAUCGGCCACACUGGAACUGAGACACGGUCCAGACUCCUACGGGAGGCAGCAGUAGGGAAUCUUCCGCAAUGGGCGAAAGCCUGACGGAGCAACGCCGCGUGAGUGAUGAAGGUCUUCGGAUCGUAAAACUCUGUUAUUAGGGAAGAACAUAUGUGUAAGUAACUGUGCACAUCUUGACGGUACCUAAUCAGAAAGCCACGGCUAACUACGUGCCAGCAGCCGCGGUAAUACGUAGG